rnacentral:rRNA from 1 species
GACGAACGCUGGCGGCGUGCUUAACACAUGCAAGUCGAACGGAAAGGCCCUGCUUUUGUGGGGUGCUCGAGUGGCGAACGGGUGAGUAACACGUGAGUAACCUGCCCUUGACUUUGGGAUAACUUCAGGAAACUGGGGCUCAUACCGGAUAGGAGCUCCUGCUGCAUGGUGGGGGUUGGAAAGUUUCGGCGGUUGGGGAUGGACUCGCGGCUUAUCAGCUUGUUGGUGGGGUAGUGGCUUACCAAGGCUUUGACGGGUAGCCGGCCUGAGAGGGUGACCGGCCACAUUGGGACUGAGAUACGGCCCAGACGCCUACGGGAGGCAGCAGUGGGGAAUAUUGCACAAUGGGCGGAAGCCUGAUGCAGCAACGCCGCGUGCGGGAUGACGGCCUUCGGGUUGUAAACCGCUUUCGCCGGUGACGAAGCGUGAGUGACGGUAAUGGGUAAAGAAGCACCGGCUAACUACGUG